rnacentral:rRNA from 1 species
AWGGGACUARGACACGGCCCAUACUCCUACGGAGGCAGCAGUAGGGGAAUUUUUUCACAAUGGACGAAAGUSUGAUGGAGCAAUGCCGCGUGAACGAUGAAAGGUCUUAAUGGAUUGUAAAGUUCUUUUAUUUGGGGAGAAUUGYUAGCAAAGGAAAUGUUGCUAGUUUGACGGUACCAUUUGAAUAAGUAACGACUAACUAUGUGCCAGCAGUCGCGGUAAUACAUAGGUUGCAAGCGUUAUCCGGAUUUAUUGGGCGUAAAGCAAGCGCAGGCGGAUUAGAAAGUCUGGUGUUAAAAACAACUGCUUAACGGUUGUAUGCAUUGGAAACUUCUAGUCUAGAGUGUGGUAGAGAGUUCUGGAACUCCAUGUGGAGCGGUGGAAUGCGUAGAUAUAUGGAAGAACACCAGUUGCGAAGGCGAGAACUUAGGCCAUAACUGACGCUUAGGCUUGAAAGUGUGGGGAGCAAAUAGGAUUAGAUACCCUAGUAGUCCACACCGUAAACGAUGGAUGUUAGGUGUUGGGGUGAUCACCUCGGUGCCGAAGCUAACGCAUUAAACAUCCCGCCUGGGUAGUACAUUCGCAAGAAUGAAACUCAAACGGAAUUGACGGGGACCCGCACAAGUGGUGGAGCAUGUUGCUUAAUUCGACGGUACACGAAAAACCUUACCUAGAUUUGACAUCCUUGGCAAAGCUAUAGAAAUAUAGUGGAGGUUAACCGAGUGACAGGUGGUGCAUGGU